rnacentral:misc_RNA from 1 species
UUUUGCAAAAGGUGAGUUAUUUGUCUUUGUUGUUGGUGUUUUUGCUCAUUUUUUAUAAUUUGUUGAUGAAUUUCAUAGUAUGAAGUGCUAGUUUUCCCGAUCUAUAGCUUAUUAUCUUUUUUAUUCUAAUUUUUAUCUAUUUUCAGAAUUAUUUUUAGUAAAAUAUAUAAGUAAUUGGAAAAUAACAUCAAAGAAAGUUUUAAGCUUCAAUAAUGUUUGCUAAGUAUAAUUUUAGGCUUAGGCAAGGUAAAAUUUAAGAAAAAUAAAUAAUUAUGAAAUUAACUCUUGAAAUAGAUUUUCUAAAUUAAAUAGUAAGUUUACAACCUAAUCACAUAGUAAGUUAAUAACCUAAUUACAUAGUAAGUUUAUAACGUAAGCUAAUGAUCAAAGCUUCCAGUCCCAGUCCUAGGAUCAAAGUCAAGAUAAUCAAGAAUCUUCUAGAUAAUCAUUUUGGUGGUAAUAUGGUUAGUUGUUUACCAUCUUAGUUAUUUUGGUUUAAAAUUGAUUAAUACUAAUGAUGCAUAAGAAUGGUGGAUUUAAUGUCUUUAUUUGAUAUAUUUGUGCUUAUUAUUUAGUUGUAUAUCUUAAUUUUAAUUAUAUCUUCAAAUAUUUAUUCAUUUUAUAAACUUUGCAAUUUUUUUUUUUUUUUUUUUUU